rnacentral:rRNA from 1 species
GAUGAACCCUGGCGGCGUGCCUAAUACAUGCAAGUCGAGCGAACAGACGAGGAGCUUGCUCCUCUGACGUUAGCGGCAGACGGGUGAGUAACACGUGGAUAACCUACCUAUAAGACUGGGAUAACUUCGGGAAACCGGAGCUAAUACCGGAUAAUAUAUUGAACCGCAUGGUUCAAUAGUGAAAGACGGUUUUGCUGUCACUUAUAGAUGGAUCCGCGCCGCAUUAGCUAGUUGGUAAGGUAACGGCUUACCAAGGCGACGAUGCGUAGCCGACCUGAGAGGGUGAUCGGCCACACUGGAACUGAGACACGGUCCAGACUCCUACGGGAGGCAGCAGUAGGGAAUCUUCCGCAAUGGGCGAAAGCCUGACGGAGCAACGCCGCGUGAGUGAUGAAGGUCUUCGGAUCGUAAAACUCUGUUAUUAGGGAAGAACAAAUGUGUAAGUAACUAUGCACGUCUUGACGGUACCUAAGCAGAAAGCCACGGCUAACUACGU